ACGUAGGAGGCGAGCGUUAUCCGGAAUUACUGGGCGUAAAGCGCGCGCAGGCGGCUCUGUAAGUUGGACGUGAAAGCUCCUGGCUUAACUGGGAGAGGUCGUUCGAAACUGCAGGGCUUGAGUCUGGGAGAGGGGUGUGGAAUUCCCGGUGUAGUGGUGGAAUGCGUAGAUAUCGGGAGGAACACCAGUGGCGGAAGCGGCACCCUGGUCCAGUACUGACGCUGAGGUGCGAAAGCGUGGGGAGCAAACAG
rnacentral:rRNA from 1 species